AAGUUCGCGAACAUCGAGGAGGACACGCCCUCCUACCACCGCAGCUACGACUUCUUCGUGUGCCGCUUCAGCGAGAUGUGCCACUCCAGCCACGAGGAUCCCGCCGUCAGAGCCAGGAUCCGGAUGUCGGGGAUCAAGGGCCUGCAGGGGGUGGUGAGGAAGACGGUGAAUGACGAGCUCCAGGCCAACAUUUGGGAUCCCCAGCACAUGGAUAAGAUCGUCCCUUCCCUGCUCUUCAACCUCCAGCACGGGGAGGAGCCCCAAAGCCGUUCCCCGUCCCC